rnacentral:sRNA from 1 species
UUACAGUAGGUGCCGAGUUCCCUGAAGCAGGGAAGCGGGGGAACCAUCUUUGGGUGAAUUGACCUCCUAUUUAAAGAGUGGUCAUAGGGGACCUUCUACCGAACCCUUAAGCUAACCUCGCAGGCAUUGGAAGGAGUCCAA